GACGAACGCUGGCGGCGCGCCUAACACAUGCAAGUCGAACGAGCAAGAGAGAGCUUGCUUUCUCGAGCGAGUGGCGAACGGGUGAGUAACGCGUGAGGAACCUGCCUCAAAGAGGGGGACAACAGUUGGAAACGACUGCUAAUACCGCAUAAGCCCACGGCUCGGCAUCGAGCAGGGGGAAAAGGAGCAAUCCGCUUUGAGAUGGCCUCGCGUCCGAUUAGCUAGUUGGUGAGGUAACGGCCCACCAAGGCAACGAUCGGUAGCCGGACUGAGAGGUUGAACGGCCACAUUGGGACUGAGACACGGCCCAGACUCCUACGGGAGGCAGCAGUGGGGAAUAUUGCACAAUGGGGGAAACCCUGAUGCAGCGACGCCGCGUGAGGGAAGACUGCCUAUGGGUUGUAAACCUCUUUUUCUAGGGAGGAAUAAAUGACGUGUACCUGAAGAAUAAGCAUCGGCUAACUCCGUG
rnacentral:rRNA from 1 species